rnacentral:rRNA from 1 species
GAUGAACGCUGGCGGCGUGCCUAAUACAUGCAAGUCGAGCGAACGGACGAGAAGCUUGCUUCUCUGAUGUUAGCGGCGGACGGGUGAGUAACACGUGGAUAACCUACCUAUAAGACUGGGAUAACUUCGGGAAACCGGAGCUAAUACCGGAUAAUAUUUUGAACCGCAUGGUUCAAAAGUGAAAGACGGUCUUGCUGUCACUUAUAGAUGGAUCCGCGCUGCACUAGCUAGUUGGUAAGGUAACGGCUUACCAAGGCAACGAUGCAUAGCCGACCUGAGAGGGUGAUCGGCCACACUGGAACUGAGACACGGUCCAGACUCCUACGGGAGGCAGCAGUAGGGAAUCUUCCGCAAUGGGCGAAAGCCUGACGGGGCAACGCCGCGUGAGUGAUGAAGGUCUUCGGAUCGUAAAACUCUGUUAUUAGGGAAGAACAUAUGUGUAAGUAACUGUGCACAUCUUGACGGUACCUAAUCAGAAAGCCACGGCUAACUACGUG